GAUGAAGAACGCAGCGAAAUGCGAUAAGUAAUGUGAAUUGCAGAAUUCAGUGAAUCAUCGAAUCUUUGAACGCACAUUGCGCCCCCUGGUAUUCCGGGGGGCAUGCCUGUCCGAGCGUCAUUACAACCCUCAAGCUCAGCUUGGUGUUGGGCCCCGCCGCCCCGGCGGGCCCUAAAGUCAGUGGCGGUGCCGUCCGGCUCCGAGCGUAGUAAUUCUUCUCGCUCUGGAGGUCCGGUCGUGUGCUCGCCAGCAACCCCCAAUUUUUUUCAGGUUGACCUCGGAUCAGGUAGGAUUACCCGCUGAACUUAAGCAUAUCAAUAAGCGGAGGA
rnacentral:misc_RNA from 1 species